GGUCUCACCACCCAGCCUGUGCGUGCUGGGGUGCAUGGGAUCCACCAGCGACCUUCAUGUUGUGCUGACGUGGGUCCUUGGUCCCAGCAGCUCUGGCUGUCCCUCGCGUGGUGCCUGACUUGAGCUACGCAAGAGCAGGUUGUAUUUCUGAAGGAGGGGUGCUGGGUCCCUGUAGCACAGAAAUUAUUGCUGCAGCGCUCUGAACCAGUGAUGAACACCAGGAAAGGCGAAACAAAACCAGGGAGGUCACACUGAGCUCACAUUUCCUGCCCAUGCUCUUACACAAGUCAAAGAGGUUCCUAAAAGCCUGAUUCAAGCCUCCAGCAGGAUGGAAACAGGAGAAGAAGCUCCUGUAAGUGCCUUUUCUGCUUCUUGCUUGCAGACAAAGCUGCAUGAGAAACCUAGAGAGGUUUUCUUUUCUUCUUGAAAGUUAGCCAGCUCAUAAGUGCCGGUGCUCCAGAGGGCUUGGGAUUAAUUUCUGAGCUCAGCCCACGUUGCAUUCGUCAGUUCUCCACUGUGAGCUACAAGAUGGGGAUCUGCCUGGAAUUGCCUGGAAUGAGUAUUUAAGCAAUUUUAGACAUGGGACCGCUACAGGCAGCCACUUGUCAAACACAACUUCAAAGGUGGCAACAACAACCGCUGCCACCUUGCUGGAUGCUGCCAAUUCAAGUGACUACCCGUACGAGU
rnacentral:lncRNA from 1 species